UACGGGGGGGGCAAGCGUUGUUCGGAAUUACUGGGCGUAAAGGGCUCGUAGGCGGCCAACUAAGUCGGAUGUGAAAGCCCCCGGCUCAACUGGGGAGGGUCACGCGAUACUGGUCGACUCGAAGGCAGGAGAGGGUAGUGGAAUUCCCGGUGUAGUGGUGAAAUGCGUAGAGAUCGGGAGGAACAUCAGUGGCGAAGGCGGCCAUCUGGGACAACACUGACGCUGAGGCACGAAAGCGUGGGGAGCAAACAGG
rnacentral:rRNA from 1 species